UACGAAGGGGCUAGCGUUGUUCGGAAUUACUGGGCGUAAAGGGCGCGCAGGCGGCCGCUCAAGUCAGAUGUGAAAGCCCCGGGCUCAACCUGGGAACUGCAUUUGAUACUGAGUGGCUAGAGUUCGGGAGAGGAGAGUGGAAUUCCCAGUGUAGAGGUGAAAUUCGUAGAUAUUGGGAAGAACACCGGUGGCGAAGGCGGCUCUCUGGACCGACACUGACGCUGAGGCGCGAAAGCGUGGGGAGCAAACAGG
rnacentral:rRNA from 1 species